GUUUGGUUUGCCAUCACUUUUUGUGACUUUUCUGACAUCUGCAAGUGUCGGAAGUGUGACCUGAAACAUUUAAGGACACUUCUGCCUGAACCAUGGGCAGAUGUUUAGACUCCAAGAUACAGAGGAGGAGGGUCUUGGAGGUUUCUUAGUAUAAGUUCCUCCCUGUGGUACUUGCAGUUCCUACAAGGGGCUGUCAGAGAAACAAGCCGGAGAAGAGCAAGACAUGGUCCUGGUGCAUGAAAGGAGCCUAAGAAAGAAGAGUGAAAGCUGCACGUGUGUGAGUAUCUAGCAGAACAUCUAGAAAAUGCACACCAACCUCCAGCAGCAGAAAACAGUCUACCUCCAGAAAGCCAUAAAAGAGAAAAGAAUGUUGUACCAAACUAAGCAAAUGAAGCAUGAAAUGAAAAGCCGGUUGAGCUGGGAGGUAUAAAGAAUGGAAAGGAAGCAGCUACCACCCCUGGUAACCCCAUCAAUCCGGAGAAGCUUCGCAGAGUUACACUGUGCUCUGUCGGGAAGGAAAUGAAUUUUCCUCAUUGUACACAUUCCGAGAAAAAUGAGGCUAAGACUAUUUCAAAGGAUGUUCUACCUAAUUCGAAUGGGCUUUAAGUGCCAUCUUCACAAUAGCGCCAGAGUCUGGUGUCAGCAAACUGAACAAAUAGAGCUACAGGGAGCGAAUGGGGCUGGGUGCCUCUCCAAAACAUAUGCAGAUGAACUUGAGAUUUCAGAGGACGGUUAAUCCUACACAGCAGUCAAGUGCCUUCCCAGGGGGCUCCCUUCCAAACACUGGCUGCCACGUCAAACCAAAGGGGACGAGCAAUCAGACUCACCUCAAACGCCAGUUAAGAAAGCCGGCCUUACUUAAGCAAUCAAGGGCAAGUGAUCAGCCAACUCUGCUUUCUUUCCUUUCUCUUGGAUCAUUUAUAGACCUUGUGGCCGUGGCCACCACAUUGAGAAGCCCUUGGUCUCUACUUGGACUCACUAUAGCAGGU
rnacentral:lncRNA from 1 species